CUAGGCCACGAAUUAAUCAAUCACCCCUGCUGUGGACCACUUUCUGGAAGCCCAAGGUGCCGACUUCUACAAAGAAGGGAUCCGUAUGCUCCACAACUCCUGGACUAAUAAGAUGACCUGGAAGCUGGAGAGGUUGGUGCCCAUGAUGGACCUGACUGAGUUUACAACUUUCUGCAAUUUAUUUCGAUCUUGUGCACACCAUACCAGACGGCGAUGGAACCAGCUGGAAUGAUCUCCAUGGCACAGCUAUAGAAAUUGGGUUCUUCCAAGUUGCUGAAUUCUACAGAGGAUGCCAGCAACUACUCAGAAAGCUGCUAAAAGAGGGAGAACUCAUACAUCAUGGAGCCACACAAAAAAAAGAAGCAGACACUCAGCCCACAACGUACA